GUAAGGAAUAUUGGACAAUGGACGCAAGUCUGAUCCAGCCAUGCCGCGUGAAGGAUUAAGGUCCUCUGGAUUGUAAACUUCUUUUAUAAGGGACGAAAAAAGGCUUUUCUAAGUCGUCUGACGGUACCUUAUGAAUAAGCACCGGCUAACUCCGUGCCAGCAGCCGCGGUAAUACGGAGGGUGCAAGCGUUAUCAGGAUUCACUGGGUUUAAAGGGUGCGUAGGCGGGCAGGUAAGUCAGUGGUGAAAUCCUAGAGCUUAACUCUAGAACUGCCAUUGAUACUAUCUGUCUUGAAUAUUGUGGAGGUAAGCGGAAUAUGUCAUGUAGCGGUGAAAUGCUUAGAUAUGACAUAGAACACCUAUUGCGAAGGCAGCUUACUACGCAUAUAUUGACGCUGAGGCACGAAAGCGUGGGGAUCAAACAGGAUUAGAUACCCGGGUAGUCC
rnacentral:rRNA from 1 species